AUGGACAGCCGGAAUCAGGCGCCGCAGAAGUCCAGCAGCUUCUCGUCGGCCUCCAGCAACAAGGCCCGGGAGGUCGACCGCAACCUCUCCCUCGGCACCCUCCGGCAUGGCGACCACGACCGGAGGGGCUCCGCCGGCGCCACCUGGGAGCAGAUCAAGGAGGAGUGCGAGGACGACGAGGAGGACGGCUGCGGCGACCCGGGCGUGUCCGAGUUGUCGGGGGAGAUCGACGCGUUUAUCGUGGGCCGGGAUGGCCAAGCGCCGCUGAGCCUCCCGGAGGCGACGCUCGAGAAGUUCGCCGCCGCCGUCGAGCUGCAGAUCGCGCAGACGGAGAACUCGCGGGAUAAGUGGGCUAAGGGCGAGCCGCCGGUGCUCGCGGCCAUCGCGCGCAUUUCGGCCCUCGCGUCCGCGCUCGCCAAGAACCCGGAGGCCAGCAGCAAGUACGCCUCCGGCGCGCACCGGGUCACCGCCGUGCUGCAGCGUGCGAUGGCGUUCCUCGAGGACGAGUUCCACGCGCUGCUCGAGCCCAAGUCGGACACCUGCAAGUUGAUAAGACGGCCGCCUUCGUUCGAGCAAGGCGGACACGAGGCCGACCGGUGCGUCCUCCGACCACCCGACACCGCCCCUGCAGCGGCGGAGCCCAAACCGCCGUACACGCCGGAGACCGUGGAGCGGCUCCGGUCCAUCGCCGACCUCAUGGUGGCCGCCGGGUACGUAACGGAGUGCACGCAGAUGUUGCUGGUGGCACGCCGGAACGCGUUCGACGCGUCGGUGCGCGCGCUCGGGUACGAGAAGGCAAGCAUCGACGACGUCGUGCGGAUGACGUGGGAGGCGCUGGAGACCGAGAUUGUGACGUGGAUCAAGGCGUUCAGGCACGCCAUCAACGUGGGCCUCUCCACGGAGCACGACCUCUGCGGCCGCGUCUUCAGCGGCCGCCACGCCAGCGUCGGCAGAGGCGUCUUCGCCGACCUGGCCCGAUGCAUCAUGCUCCACAUGCUCAACUUCACGGAGGCCGUGGCCAUGACACGCCGCUCCGCCGAGAAGCUCUUCAAGGUGCUCGACAUGUACGAGGCCGUCCGCGACUCAUCUCCGGUCAUCGACGCCUUCCUGUCCGCCUCCGCCUCCGACGAACCCGCGGCCGGCAACGCCCUGGCGGACCUCAAGACCGAGAUCGCGGCCGCACGUUCCCGGAUCGGCGAGUCGGCGGCCAGCAUCUUCUGCGAGCUGGAGAGCUCCAUCCGCGCGGACGCCGGCAAGCAGCCGGUCCCCGGCGGCGCCGUGCACCCGCUGACCCGCUACGUGAUGAACUACCUCAAGUACACGUGCGAGUACAACAGCACGCUCGAGCAGGUGUUCCGGGAGCACCGGCGGAGCGACGCCGUGGACGGGGAGGACAACAACCCGUUCGCGGCGCAGCUGAUGGAGGUGAUGGAGCUCCUCCAGGGGAACCUGGAAGGGAAGUCGCGGCUGUACAAGGACCCGGCCCUGAGCAGCAUCUUCCUGAUGAACAACGGGCGGUACAUGCUGCAGAAGAUCCGGGGGUCGCCGGAGACGAACGCGAUGCUGGGCGAGACUUGGGCGCGGAAGCAGUCGACGAAUCUGCGGCAGUACCACAAGAACUACCAGCGGGAGACGUGGAACCGGGUGCUGACCCUGCUCCGCGAUGACGGCGUGCUGACCGUGAAGGGCCAUGUGCAGAAGACGCUGCUCAAGGAACGGUUCAAGCAGUUCAACUCCGCCAUGGACGAUAUCCAAAAGACGCAGGGGGCGUGGGUGGUAAGCGACGAGCAGCUGCAGUCGGAGCUCCGGGUUUCCAUCGCCGCCGUGGUGGUGCCGGCGUACCGGUCGUUCCUGGGGCGGUUCGCGCAGACAUUCAGCGCCGGGAGGCAGGCGGAGAAGUACGUGAAGCUGAGCGCGGAGGACCUGGAGGGGAUCAUCGACGAGCUCUUCGACGGUAACCCCUCGUCCAUGAGUAGGAGGAGGACAUGA
rnacentral:rRNA from 1 species